rnacentral:rRNA from 1 species
UACGUAGGGGGCAAGCGUUGUUCGGAAUUACUGGGCGUAAAGGGCUCGUAGGCGGCCAACUAAGUCAGACGUGAAAUCCCUCGGCUUAACCGGGGAACUGCGUCUGAUACUGGAUGGCUUGAGUUCGGGAGAGGGAUGCGGAAUUCCAGGUGUAGCGGUGAAAUGCGUAGAUAUCGAGAGGAACACCGGCGGCGAAGGCGGGUUGCUGGGCCGACACUGACGCUGAUGCGCGAAAGCCAGGGGAGCAAACGGG